CUGACUGAAGGUCUUGCCACACUCAUUACACUUGUAAGGUGUCUCUCCAGUAUGAAGUCUACGAUGGCAUGUAAGGGAUGACAUGUGACUGAAGGUCUUGCCACACUCAUUACACUUGUAAGGUUUCUCUCCAGUAUGAAGUCUACGAUGGUAUGUAAGGGAUGAC